rnacentral:tRNA from 1 species
GGAGGCGUCAGGGUUCCUGGUGGGCCCCCGGUCUUCAAAACCGGUGAGUCCGAGCAUCUCGGGCUGGCGGGUUCGAUUCCCGUCCGCCCCCGCCA